rnacentral:rRNA from 1 species
CUACGGGCGGCAGCAGUGGGGAAUAUUGCACAAUGGAGGAAACUCUGAUGCAGCAACGCCGCGUGGAGGAUGACACUUUUCGGAGCGUAAACUCCUUUUAUAUAGGAAGAAGAUGACGGUACUAUAUGAAUAAGCGCCGGCUAACUCCGUGCCAGCAGCCGCGGUAAUACGGAGGGCGCAAGCGUUACUCGGAAUCACUGGGCGUAAAGAGCGUGUAGGCGGAUUAAAAAGUCAGAAGUGAAAUCCUAUAGCUUAACUAUAGAACUGCUUCUGAAACUCUUAAUCUAGAAUAUGGGAGAGGUAGAUGGAAUUUCUGGUGUAGGGGUAAAAUCCGUAGAGAUCAGAAGGAAUACCGAUUGCGAAGGCGAUCUACUAGAACAUUAUUGACGCUGAGACGCGAAAGCGUGGGGAGCAAACAGGAUUAGAUACCCCCGUAGUC